AUGCUCCUUGCUUUCCCCAACCUAGAAUCCUCAUCCUUUCCCCCAAAUGAGAAAUCUGAAAUCCACAAUCCAAAACUCACUCAUAGUAGCCUCUGCCUUGCCUCAUUCCUCAUAUCCUGAUGGUUCAUUCUCUCCAUUCGAUUCGAUUUUGGGCAUAAUAGUGGGAGUUGAGUAAUGGAGUUGCUGCCAUGCAAUGGAGUAUAGCAGGAGGCAGAAGACCUUUCACUCCAUCUCAAUGGAUGGAGCUAUAACACCAGGUCUUGAUCUACAAAUACAUCCCAAUGUGCCUAUUUCUUCCACUCUGCUCAUCCCAAUCAAGAAGGCCCUUAAUUCUGCAUGAUUUUUUGACAUUUUCGAACGGAAUUCCCAGGCCCAAUUCAUGUAAUUUCUUCAUUUUACUCAAAUGA
rnacentral:sRNA from 1 species